GCGCGAAGCCUCCGCAAUGCGAGCAAUCGCGACGGGGGGACCCCAAGUGCUACUCUUAACGGGGUAGCUUUUCUAAAGUGUAAAAAGCUUCAGGAAUAAGGGCUGGGCAAGACCGGUGCCAGCCGCCGCGGUAACACCGGCAGCUCAAGUGGUGGCCGCUUUUAUUGGGCCUAAAGCGUUCGUAGCCGGCCUGAUAAGUCUCUGGUGAAAUCCCGCAGCUUAACUGUGGGAAUUGCUGGAGAUACUAUCAGGCUUGAGGCCGGGAGAGGCUGGAGGAACUCCCAGGGUAGGGGUGAAAUCCUAUAAUCCUGGGAGGACCACCUGUGGCGAAGGCGUCCAGCUGGAACGGACCUGACGGUGAGGAACGAAAGCCAGGGGCGCGAACCG
rnacentral:rRNA from 1 species